AUGAGUGAUGUCUAUAGGAAUAUUACUGGGUUUAAAGAAGUUGAAAUACUGUCCAUAAGGCAAGGAAGCAUUAUUGUGGCUCAUAGACUUAUUAUGGUAUUAGACUAUAAGCCCGAUGAGAAUAUAGAUCAAAUGUUCAACCAAGCACGUCAAGAGGUAGAAAAAAAUCUUGAAGAAAUGAGGAAAAACAACUGUGCAGAUGCAAACAACAACCUGUGUGUUGCCGAAGAUUACACAGUGACUGGAACACCACCAAAAUCUC